rnacentral:snoRNA from 1 species
AAACUUGAUGACGAGGAUCUCGUGUCCUAUAUCCUUGCCGGGCUCGACUUCGACUUCGACCCAGUGGUUUCGGCGGUGGCAGCCCGCGUGGAACCAAUCUCCAUAGGCGAGCUGAUCAUCCAGCUCACAAGCUUCGAGC